rnacentral:rRNA from 1 species
GACGAACGCUGGCGGCGUGCCUAACACAUGCAAGUCGAGCGAGGGGAGUUUUCGGAACAAACCUAGCGGCGGACGGGUGAGUAACACGUGGGCAACCUGCCUCAUAGAGGGGAAUAGCCUUCCGAAAGGAAGAUUAAUACCCCAUAACAUUGCAAUUUCGCAUGAAGUAGCAAUUAAAGGAGCAAUCCGCUAUGAGAUGGGCCCGCGGCGCAUUAGCUAGUUGGUGAGGUAACGGCUCACCAAGGCGACGAUGCGUAGCCGACCUGAGAGGGUGAUCGGCCACAUUGGGACUGAGACACGGCCCAGACUCCUACGGGAGGCUG